rnacentral:tRNA from 1 species
UAGACUGAAGCCCGCUGGCUAGGGUGUUUAGUUGUUAAUUAAUAUUUCGCGGGAUCAAGGCCCGUCGGUCUAGC